rnacentral:rRNA from 1 species
GGCCCGCACAAGCGGAGGAACAUGUGGUUUAAUUCGAUGAUACGCGAGGAACCUUACCCGGGCUCAAACGCUGUAGGAAUCCGACGAGAGGUCGACGGAGCCGCAAGGCUUACAGCGAGGUGCUGCAUGGUUGUCGUCAGCUCGUGCCGUGAGGUGUCGGCUUAAGUGCCAUAACGAGCGCAACCCCCGCGUCCAGUUGCCAGCGAGUGAAGUCGGGCACUCUGGACGGACUGCCGGCGCAAGCCGUGAGGAAGGCGGGGAUGACGUCAAAUCAGCACGGCCCUUACGUCCGGGGCUACACACGUGUUACAAUGGCGCGUCACAGAGGGGAGCCACCACGCGAGUGGGAGCGGAGCCCGAAAACGCGUCUCAGUUCGGAUUGGAGUCUGCAACCCGACUCCAUGAAGCUGGAUUCGCUAGUAAUCGCGCAUCAGCCAUGGCGCGGUGAAUACGUUCCCGGGC